GUUUGAUGAGCUCCAUCCUGCUGAAAGUUGUUCAGAGAAUCAGGAACAUUUAAUAUUAUAAAGUGAUAGAUGUGCACUGAUUUGUCAGGAUUUACUCACCAUCUUCACCAUGUUUUAAACUCUAUUUCAGCCAAAGGUUCUUCAGCUGGUCCCAUCGCUGGUAGUGUCUGUGGAUGGGUGGUGUUGUUCACAGUGCUGGUGGCAGGAGCUCUGAUUUAUUGAAAGAAAACAUUCACAAGGGUUUGAAUCUCCGCACAACCGAAGUCCACAUCCGCUGUAGAAAAGGUCACAGUAAGUUGUUGUUCUUCUCCUGUUGUGUCGCUCACCUGCUAACUGCUCACUAACUAGUUAACCAGCAC
rnacentral:lncRNA from 1 species